ACUCCUACGGGAGGCAGCAGUGGGGAAUUUUGGACAAUGGGGGAAACCCUGAUCCAGCCAUGCCGCGUGAGUGAACAAGGCCUUCGGGUUGUAAAGCUCUUUCAGCCGGAACGAAACGGACACGGCUAAUACCUGUGAGGACAGACGCUACCGGAAGAAGAAGCACCGGCUAACUACGUGCCAGCAGCCGCGGUAAU
rnacentral:rRNA from 1 species